rnacentral:lncRNA from 1 species
GUUACCAUUUACAAGUUGGAAGAAGCUAAGCAUCCCAACCAUUUCUUUUGUGAAGAAAUCUUUGUUCUUGUGAAUGUUGGUAUAGACUUUCAAAUUUCAAGUAUGUAACUUUCAAAUUUCAAGAUUACUCUGUUUAAUCUUCUCAAUCGAAUGCUGAACAAAGAGAGGAUUCUUGAAUGCUUUUUCCAUUUCCUAUGUGUUUUGAUCCUUUUUAGCUUCUCUAUCCAUUAUGGUUUUAAUGUGAAUUGUUGUGUAUGAGAGAGAUAUCCAGAAUUAAAUGCUGGAUUGAAGUAAUUGGCACAUUUGUGCAUGUUUGCUUAUGAUGAUUUCUGUUAGCAAUGAGUUCUCUGGAGGCAGUUUCGCGCAUAGCCUAGCAUAGUUCUGGUACUGGCUGAUAUUGUGCGAUUUUUUAUACAAAGCAGUUGCCUAUUCUUUGGUAAGCAGAAACUUAUUUGGUUUCUGAACGGUCAACAAGCUCCAACUUCGUCGGUCUUGAAAUUAUUCUUUUACAGUUUCAUGUUAAAUUUACACAAUGUAGUAUGUGCUAGAAAAAGCUGAUUUUAUCUGGAGACUGUUCUUUAGUCUCUUGCAUUACGCAGAUGCUUCGAAAUCGAAGGUGUUUUGAUAAACAUGCUUAGCUUCUUCAUCUCUUUGGCCUUGAAUUAUAUCAGCGGUUUGAUGUCUGGUCCAGGGAACUUCUUUCUGUUAGCAAUGAGUUCUCUGGAGGCAGUUUCGCGCAUAGCCAAUGCUUUUCUUUUAUUGCUUGCAGGUAUGCCGAAGCCCAAGCGUUACGAGAACUUCCAGAACACCUUUCAGUCAGCACCUACAUCACAAGGUGUAGCACAACCUUUAUCAACAACUCAAUCAACACCUUCGCAUUUUGAUGAUCCACCACAACUGCCUUCAUUUAUAAACCGACAACACGACCAACACCUUCAGGUCAUGUUGCAGCAAAUCCGAUUCAGUCAGAUCAUACCACAACGCAACAGGUUCCAUCAGCCGCACCUUCGUAUUUUGAUGAUCCGCCACAGCUGACUUCAUUUAUUCAACCAACAGCACGACCAACACCUUCAGGUCAUGUUGCAGCAAAUCCGAUUCAGUCAGAUCAGACCACAACACAGUAGGUUCCAUCAGCCCGGGCCG